UCCUACGGGAGGCAGCAGUGAGGAAUUUUCCGCAAUGGGCGAAAGCCUGACGGAGCAAUACCGCGUGAGGGAUGAAGGAUUUUGGUCUGUAAACCUCUUUUCUCAAGAAAGAAGUUCUGACGGUACUUGAGGAAUAAGCAUCGGCUAACUCCGUGCCAGCAGCCGCGGUAAUACGGGGGAUGCAAGCGUUAUCCGGAAUCAUUGGGCGUAAAGCGCCUGUAGGUUGUUUAAUAAGUCUGUUGUUAAAGACUAGGGCUUAACCCUAGAAAAGCAAUGGAAACUACUAGACUAGAGUAUGGCAGGGGUAGAGGGAAUUUCUAGUGUAGCGGUGAAAUGCGUAGAUAUUAGAAAGAACACCGGUGGCGAAAGCGCUCUACUGGACCAUUACUGACACUCAGAGGCGAAAGCUAGGGUAGCAAAAGGGAUUAGAUACCCCUGUAGUCCUAGCCGUAAACGAUGGAUACUACAUGUUGUGCAUUAUGUACAGUAUGGUAGCUAACGCGUUAAGUAUCCCGCCUGGGGAGUACGCUCGCAAGGGUGAAACUCAAAUGAAUUGACGG
rnacentral:rRNA from 1 species